GAGCUUACACAUGCAAGUCAACUUGAAUUUGGGUUUUUAACUUAGGUUUGGGUGGCGGACGGGUGAGUAACGCGUAAAGAACUUGCCUCACAGUCAGGGACAACAUUUGGAAACGAAUGCUAAUACCUAAUAUUAUGAUAAUAGGGCAUCCUAUAAUUAUGAAAGCUAUAAGCGCUGUGAGAGAGCUUUGCGUCCCAUUAGCUAGUUGGAGAGGUAACGGCUCACCAAGGCGAUGAUGGGUAGCCGGCCUGAGAGGGUGAUCGGCCACAAGGGGACUGAGACACGGCCCUUACUCCUACGGGAGGCAGCAGUGGGGAAUAUUGGACAAUGGACCAAGAGUCUGAUCCAGCAAUUCUGUGUGCACGAUGAAGUUUUUCGGAAUGUAAAGUGCUUUCAGUUGGGAAGAAAAAAAUGACGGUACCAACAGAAGAAGUGACGGCUAAAUACGUGCCAGCAGCCGCGGUAAUACGUAUGUCACGAGCGUUAUCCGGAUUUAUUGGGCGUAAAGCGCGUCUAGGUGGUUAUGUAAGUCUGAUGUGAAAAUGCAGGGCUCAACUCUGUAUUGCGUUGGAAACUGUAUAACUAGAGUACUGGAGAGGUAAGCGGAACUACAAGUGUAGAGGUGAAAUUCGUAGAUAUUUGUAGGAAUGCCGAUGGGGAAGCCAGCUUACUGGACAGAUACUGACGCUGAAGCGCGAAAGCGUGGGUAGCAAACAGGAUUAGAUACCCUGGUAGUCCACGCCGUAAACGAUGAUUACUAGGUGUUGGGGGUCGAACCUCAGCGCCCAAGCAAACGCGAUAAGUAAUCCGCCUGGGGAGUACGUACGCAAGUAUGAAACUCAAAGGAAUUGACGGGGACCCGCACAGCGGUGGAGCAUGUGGGUUUAAUUCGACGCAACGCGAGGGAACCUUACCAGCGUUUGACAUCUUAGGAAUGAGACAGAGAUGUUUCAG
rnacentral:rRNA from 1 species